CGCCAGACUCCUACGGGAGGCAGCAGUGGGGAAUAUUGCACAAUGGGGGAAACCCUGAUGCAGCGACGCCGCGUGAGUGAAGAAGUAUUUCGGUAUGUAAAGCUCUAUCAGCAGGGAAGAAAAUGACGGUACCUGAUUAAGAAGCCCCGGCUAACUACGUGCCAGCAGCCGCGGUAAUACGUAGGGGGCAAGCGUUAUCCGGAUUUACUGGGUGUAAAGGGGGCGCAGACGGCAGCGCAAGCCAGGAGUGAAAGCCCGGGGCCCAACCCCGGGACUGCUCUUGGAACUGCGCGGCUGGAGUGCAGGAGGGGCAGGCGGAAUUCCUGGUGUAGCGGUGAAAUGCGUAGAUAUCAGGAGGAACACCGGUGGCGAAGGCGGCCUGCUGGACUGCGACUGACGUUGAGGCCCGAAAGCGUGGGGAGCAAACAGGAUUAGAUACCCUCGUAC
rnacentral:rRNA from 1 species